CGAGCCAGUGCGGAUGUGGGUGGGGCAGAAGCAAGGGCCCGAGGACCAGGAGGCCCGUGUCGUGGGGGCCACUGAGGUUUUAAUUCACGGGGCCCUCAUUUUCCUUGCUUUCUUGGAAAGUCACCCAAACACUUCGUAGACCAGGGGAAGCAGCCAGGCCAGGCCCUCGUGCCCCCUUGCUCUCUUUGCGCUGGCACCCCAUGCGGCUGGCCCUGCCGUUUCCUGGGCCCGGAGGCCGGUGGUGUGACUUGGGGAGCUUCCCUGGACCCAGGUUCCUCUGCUCCGUGCUGAUGGUGGUUUCUGCCCUUGGGUGUUGGAGGAGACUCCGAGGCCUGGCAGUGAACAUCUAUUAAAAUCGUACUUCUGCGUGGAUCUAUUCCUCGAACUGGAAUUGUUGAGUCAAUUCAAAAGAGGAAAAUGGCAGACAUCCUAGCAGGAAGCAAAAGGCGGGGGAAGAAACUUCUAUGAAAACUUGAUGCUUUUUAUGGUAAGUAGAGCUUCACAGUUAACUUGAAAUGCUAUGCUAGCGGCAUCUUCUGGUUUAAUAUGUGGCAGGAAAUAAAUGAAACAUGUCCUCAUUGCCCCGAGUGGGAAAAGGCUGUGUUACUUUGACCUUGGAAACCUACCAUAAUAUAUUCUCAGAAGGCUGGCCUUGGAAAGGAGCCAGUAGUAUAUUACAAGUGUCAAGAGCGUGGGCACGGAAGCUGGCCUCAGUGUUUCAUGAGGUUGUGAUGCUCUCUGAGUUAUGUAUUAAUUAUUAGCCACAAUUUUCAGGAGCUAGGGGACCUAGGGCAUGGGGCAGAAGGCCAGUCACUGUGGAGGUUGGGGGCUGUCUUUCAGGAAGAUAGGGUCUUGGAACUGGCUUAGCUGAUAAUCGCCGUGAAGUCCCUUGUCUCACACAAAGCCCCUAGUGUCAACCAGCUGGUCUCAAGGCUAAAUGUGAGGUUCCUUACUCCCAGAGAUAGUGGUCAUCGGUUCCACAUCCUCUUCCAAACCACUCUGCCUGUCUACCGAGUUUGUCACAGAUUCCUUCAACUGUGUCCAUCACAAGAAGCUUCACAGACAUAGCUGGAGGGGUAGUAAGUAAGAGCAGAGGUGCGUGGCUGGGUUCAAAUCCCAGCUCCACCAGGUACUGGCUGUGUGAGUCCGGGCAUGUUACAAAACCUCUCUGGGUCUCGCUUUGCUCAUCUGUGAAAGAGCACAGAGGUGCUCUAUUAGUCAGUUGCCGUGAAGAUUGACCGAACGUCCUUAUGCAACGUACAUAAAGCAAGUCCAAAAGAUGGUAGCUGUUAUUUUUGUUCGUUUAUUUGCCAGAUAUCCACUGAACUCUGUGUGCCAGGCAGUGUACCCCAGACCUUGCUUCUGUCCUUGUGGAGGUCCCAGUCUAAAGCAACCCCAGCUAGGUGACAGAAUGCUGCAAGGCUGUAGAAGGCACGCGUGCUCUGCUGGCCUGGCCUUACCCGGCAUCACACCAACCCCUCCGGUGCUGCCACGCAGGGCUGAAUGCAGCUAAUAAUUCAGGUGCUUAUUGACCUCACUGAAAAAGCCCAUCUUCCUUCCUACCUGCAAAGAUCAUCACAAACCCUUGAUUUCAUGCAAAUCCUCUUUCUGACUUCUCCAGCCCAGGCUGUCUUGUGGCAUUUGACUCUUGGCUUGUAUUGGAAGGGACUGAAACGUUGAAUCAAUAGGCCAGCCUAGCAUAAGAAGUGCUCCUAAUGAAGGAACAGAGGAAAAGCGCCUGUGAGUGAUGUUGAAUAGACUGUGAUUCACCCCUGCUCCCACUGUGCGGGGGUGUGUGUUGGGGGAAGGCUGGGACUGAUUUGUCAGGCAGAAGGCCGGGGCAUGGUAAUCAGUUCUCUCCCAGGUCUGUCUCGCCUGGAUAAUGGGGCUUUAAUAACAUGUUGCCCGAAGAGGCGGUUGUGUAUGGGUUUCAGAGAACAAACUGAUCAACAAGGCGAGGGUUUGGGGAGAUUGUUAGGAAAAUUGCCGCUUCUUCAGAAUGUCAUGAUGCCCUCCCCACGGGCGGUGGAACUCUGCCCAGCACCCCCCCCCCCAUUCCCCCAAACAGUUCAGUUCGGUGA